rnacentral:rRNA from 1 species
CAUUCAAAGAGUGCGUAACAGCUCACUAGUCGAGAGUCCCUGCGCCGAAAAUGUCCGGGGCUGAAACACAACACCGAAGCCGUGGACUCCGUAAGGAGUGGUAGAGGAGCAUUCUUAAAACCGACGAAGCUGUACCGGUAAGGAGCAGUGGAGGGAUAAGAAGAGAGAAUGCCGGAAUGAGUAGCGAGAGGAAGGUGGGAAUCCUUCCGGCCGAAUAUCUAAGGUUUCCAGAGUAAAGCUGAUCUGCUCUGGGUAAGUCGGGGCCUAAGGAGAGGUCGCAAGACGUAUCCGAUGGACAACAGGUUUAGAUUCCUGUACCGCAUAUAAACAGAACUGUGGGGACGCAUGUGGAAAGCAUAAGCCGGGAAUGGAAAGACCGGUACAAGCGGGGUAGGUGUGUGACAGGCAAAUCCGUCAUAUAAGCCGAAGACGUGAUGUGGAGCGAAAUUUAGUAGUGAAGUAUGUGAGCCAUGUGCCGAGAAAAGCCGCUAUUGUUUUAUAUGUGCCCGUACCGUAAACCGACACAGGUGGAUGAGGAGAGAAUCCUAAGGCCGACGGAAGAAGCAUUGUUAAGGAAUUCGGCAAAAUGACCCCGUAACUUCGGGAGAAGGGGUGCCCACUGAAUGGUGGGCCGCAGAGAAUAGGCUCAAGCAACUGUUUAGCAAAAACACAGGUCUAUGCGAAACCGAAAGGUGAAGUAUAUGGGCUGACGCCUGCCCGGUGCUGGAAGGUUAAGAGGAGAGGUUAGCGCAAGCGAAGCUUUGAAUUUAAGCCCCAGUAAACGGCGGCCGUAACUAUAACGGUCCUAAGGUAGCGAAAUUCCUUGUCGGGUAAGUUCCGACCCGCACGAAAGGCGUAAUGAUUUGAGCACUGUCUCGACAAUGCAUCCGGUGAAAUUGAAGUACCAGUGAAGAUGCUGGUUACCCGCGCCAGGACGGAAAGACCCCAUGGAGCUUUACUCCAGUUUGAUACUGGGAUUCGGUACUGCACGUACAGGAUAGGUGGGAGACUGAGAACUAUGGACGCCAGUCUGUAGGGAGUCGCUGUUGGGAUACCACCCCUGUAGUACUGGGUUUCUAACCAGCUGCCGUGACCCGGCAGUGGGACAAUGUCAGGCGGGGAGUUUGACUGGGGCGGUCGCCUCCGAAAGGGUAUCGGAGGCGCUCAAAGGUUCCCUCAGAAUGGUUGGAAACCAUUCGAAGAGUGCAAAGGCAGAAGGGAGCUUGACUGCGACACCGACGGGUGGAGCAGGUACGAAAGUAG